GUAAUUUGCUGACGGUCCCUAAAACAGGUAGCAGCCAGAACGUAAAUGACGUUGUUGCACAGACAUCGAUGGCGCCAACAUGUGUUUGUGAUUUUUCGCGAUACGGUGUCCUAAACCGUCCUCAACAUACUAAGCCCUAUGGAAGGGGAGAUUUGGAGGUACCUGGUCAGGUCUUGGUCAGCCUUCAAAUCCCAGAUGUGGAGACUGCAGGGAUACCUCACAGAGAAGACACUAAAGAGCCAUCUCUCAUUCAUCGAGUGGACUCAUUGGUUUGCGAAUGACCACAAAGAUGCUCCCAUAGGCAGAUUGCUGCAUGGCAUUCACCACUUAUUCAAAUUGUAGAGGUUGAAGCAGUCUUCCUUGUGGUCACUUGCCAUAACACUGUCAUGUGUUUUAUGAAAACACCAUCAGUAACAUUUAAAUUGAGUUGAUGUGGA